rnacentral:rRNA from 1 species
UGGUCAAGUUAUUAAGGGUGCAGGGCGGAUGCCUUGGCACUAGGAGCCGAUGAAGGACGUGAUAAGCUGCGAUAAGCUUCGGGGAGUUGCACGUAAACUUUGAUCCGAAGAUUUCCGAAUGAGGAAACUCACUUAGAGUAAUGUCUAAGUAUCAUUAAGUGAAUACAUAGCUUAAUGAGGG